rnacentral:rRNA from 1 species
GACGAACGCUGGCGGCGUGCUUAACACAUGCAAGUCGAACGGAAAGGCCCUGCUUUUGUGGGGUGCUCGAGUGGCGCACGGGUGAGUAACACGUGAGUAACCUGCCCUUGACUUUGGGAUAACUUCAGGAAACUGUGGCUAAUACCGGAUAGGAGCUCCUGCUGCAUGGUGGGGGUUGGAAAGUUUCGGCGGGUGGGGAUGGACUCGCGGCUUAUCAGCUUGUUGGUGGGGUAGUGGCUUACCAAGGCUUGGACGGGUGGCCGGCCUGAGAGGGUGACCGGCCACAUUGGAACUGAGAUACGGCCCAGACCCCUACGGGAGGCAGCAGUGGGGAAUAUUGCACAAUGGGCGGAAGCCUGAUGCGGCAACGCCGCGUGCGGGAUGACGGCCUUCGGGUUGUAAACCGUUUUCGCCUGUAACGAGGCGUGAGUGACGGUAAUGGGUAAAGAAGCACCGGCUAACUACGUG